rnacentral:rRNA from 1 species
UACAGAGGUCUCAAGCGUUGUUCGGAUUCAUUGGGCGUAAAGGGUGCGUAGGUGGCGCCAUAAGUCAGGUGUGAAAUCUCGGGGCUCAACCCCGAAACUGCACUUGAUACUGUGGUGCUCGAGUACUGGAGAGGAGAUUGGAAUUUACGGUGUAGCAGUGAAAUGCGUAGAUAUCGUAAGGAAGACCAGUGGCGAAGGCGAAUCUCUGGACAGUUACUGACACUGAGGCACGAAGGCCAGGGGAGCAAACCGG